AUAUUAUUAAAUCAAAUUAGUAAAAAAUAAUAAUCAUUGUUAAAAUAUAUAGGAAAAUGAUUAAAGACACGUAAAUAAUGUGAGGGCAGAAAACAAGAAAGAAAAAUGCAUUCGCUCUAUUUUACUACAGAAUGUGUGGUUACGUUUUGGUAUAAAACGUUAAACCCGUUUAAGUUUACGUGAAAGUCCAUCAUAUUUUCUGAACUGGUAACAAGUUUUAUAACUAUUCUAAAAUUUCUUACAAAAAAAAUCUAAAAUAAUAAUUAAAAUUGUCAGUGAUAUAAAAUACUAUUUAACUGAUGGUCAGAGGAAUAUAUUACUUUUGCAAUAUACAUAGAAGAAAUCCAAAAGCUUCAAGAUAAUUUUACUACCUUUCAGCUCAAGUAUUUACCCAGGAUUCAGAAUACAAAGACAUAUGCUCUUGCACUGAUGCAUGAAAUCAAUCUUCAUAUUGUUUUCAUAUAAAUAUAGAGUCUUCAAUUUAGUUAACAGAAUCUUAAUCGUGUCUUUUUAAGUUGAUGUAAAAAAUGAAAUACUAUUUAAACUGGAAUAAUGUAAAAUGGUGGAUAAUGUUUCAUCUAAAAUCACUCCGAUCCAACUUUGUUUUUUCCUAUAUAUUCUUCUAAAAAUAAACAAAAUUAUAUAUAGAGGUGAUUUUGCUCCAAUAUAUUUUAUCUAUAACAUAAUUUUAUACUAUACAGAAAAAUAUAGAAAAUGCUACAUUUUUACUCUAAAAAUAAAAAAAGUAAUAUAUCUUUUAUAUUUUUAUAAUAUAGAGGAAUUCUAUUAUAAAUACAUUUAUUGGAAUAAAUAUAUUUCUAUAAUAGAGUUUAUCUAUUUAGAGGAAAAUAUAAAAGAGAAAAUUAGGUUGAGUUAAAGAUGCUCUAAAGCUACACUAUUAGGUUUAACAAAAUUCACUAGUCAGCAGUAGUAGAGAAAAAAUGAAACUUCUUUGUAAUUCUUGAAUUAUAGAAAUAGUAUAUGAUAUUUUAAAUUUAUUAAUCUACAAAAAAAAUAUCUGUGAUAAUCUUGUAAGUUUUUUAAAAACCAAAAUCUUGUAAGGUACGUACGUUGUAACCGAGUUUGUGAGUCAUCUUAUACGUGUAUUCAAAAUAAAAUAUUAAAUAUUUUUCCGAAUAAAUUAUGCCAAAGCCAAGAGAGAAAAAAAAGAGUUACUUCUUAUGUAAUUUAUGGACCACAUAUAUUAUGUAUGGACUAGAGUAGAAAAGGUCAUUUGCAUUUCAGAUAAUUUUUGGUACGAUGUGAAGAAUAACUGUGGACCAAGAAAAGGACGAAACAAGGGAGAGGAACUUUCGCGGCAAUUUACUUUGUCUCCCUCUCUAUCAUACAAACAGCACACACAUCACCACUCAUGCAUUCAUUUCGAUCCAGACGUCUAUUUUCCAAAAUAAUUAAUUAUAGAUAUGAUUGAUAAGUGAUAACCUCUUACCAAAAAAAAAUGACAAAAUCAGUAAGAAAAAAAUUAGUGAAAAACUUCUAGUAUAUCUUCCUAUUAGCUCUAUUUACUUUUUGUAUAUUGCAUUUUUGUAAGGAAAAACUUUUUAUUUCAAGAUCGAUUUCUCGAUUAAAGUUUCUCUCUCCUCUAUUUUCUCGUGCGAUUUUUUUUCUAAGGUUCUUUUGCUGCCUCUUCGCAUCUCCGGCGCCGCCGCGGCGAUAGCCAUAGCCCCACUGUCUUCUCUGCUUCUCCUGUGUGUCUUUGUGGUCUAGCUUUUGUUUCUCGACGGAGGUGGUGCUCGUCCAAGGAUCUCUGGUUCAGAUCUGGCGGUUUUCCAUGUAGAUCUGGCGGUCUUCCGUGUAGAUCUGCAGGUACAUGGCAUUGGCGAUAAAGCUUGAGAGGAUGGCUCUACAUGUCAUGUAUCUCUGGUUCUCGCGACGAGAUCUCUGUCUGGAGGGUUUCCCUCCUUUGCUGGGUUGUCCUCGAGACGGUGGCGCAUGAGGUACCGAGUAACCUGGCUCGGGUUUAUCUCCUUCUCAGUGUGGCGAGUGACUGGUUGGAGACGUUUUCCCAGCAGGUUAGGGGUCUGGGCUCGUGGAUCUAAGGUCUCUCACAUUAGAUUUGGGUUCGCCGGUGAUACGCGUUAAGUCUCGGUGAGGGAUUCUUCUCUCUCUGAGGUUUUUGGUGGUGGCGCGUUUGGGUUGACUCAACCGCGUAUUUGUUGGGGUCUCUUUGAUGCGUACUGGUUUGGGUUUCUCCUCAUAGUUUGUGUGUGCUCGGUGGUGUGGCUCUCCUUGUCGCUGUCUUUUUCUCUUGUGAAUCUUAUUGCGGUUUGCUCUCUUGUGGAAACACUUCAGGUCUGUGGUGAAGGGUAAGCUUCACUUGAACUUUCAAUUCGUUGUUCAUUUUGUGGCGCUUCUCCAGAGGGGGUGCGCUCUUCCUGUAUCGGUGCUCUAUAUGGGUGCUUGGUUAAAUCGGUGUAUACGGUUCCGGGUUGGAGAGAUUAACAUACUAAUAUGUUUUUGUUGUUGUUUUUAUAACGAAACAUGUUUGUAUUCAAUUAUACUAUAUUUGUUUUAAUCUUAACUAGACUUUGACCCGCCCGACCGGGCGGGUAUAUUGUUAUUUUUUUUAAACAACAAAAUUUUUAUAUGAUUUAUAUUUAUACACAUUUUCUAUAAUAAUAACUUACUUUCGGAUAUAAAUUAAGUUAAAAAUUUAAUUCUGAAAAUAAAAAAGUGUUAUUUAUAUUUUAACCAUAGUUAGAUGUUAUUAUUAAUUUGAAGAUGUUAUGAAUGUGUUGUGCAGUCUGUUUAAUAUAAUAUAUACACUAUAUAACAAUACAAUCACUUUACAUAUUGCCAACCUAAUUAUAAUUAUGUGGCCCAUCGAUAAUUUUUAAAGCCCAUUAUCAAUCCAUUAUAUAUAAAAAUUAACACAAAAAUCAAAAACAAUUUACAUCAUCAACAGAAUAGUCCUGGAAUGGUCAAUACAUUAACAACUUUUUUAUAAUUAUUUUCUUUACUUUUCUGUCGGUGUCUUCUCUUCCCUAUCUUAUUAACUUUUCAUAUUCCUCUUCUUCUUCUCCGAUUAAGAUCUCAUGCAAAUUAAAAUAUGUAUCAAUACAAACGAUUGAUCAAAGAAUCUGUUUGCGAAAAAUCAAUCUAUUUGAUUCAGGAUCUACAUCUAUCAUACAUCAGUGAUAGGAGAAUAGAAGGAAGUUGUGGUUCUACAAUAAGAGAGCCUCAAAGAUAAGUCCAAGUCUCUAUCUUGAUGCUUUAUAUAAUCGUUAAGCUAUAAAUGCAAUUUUAGCAAGAAUUUUACUAACUGUUUUAAGAAAUAGAUGCUUAAUUGUCUAGCUUAAUGAUUAAUCAGAAUAUUAUCACAGAAAUUCUUUGGAUAUGGAACAAUACGACUUAUAUCUUUCAUUCUUAGUAAUAAUUGUUGUUAAUAUGAUUUAUACGACAACUUUGUUUCAGGUACAUGGUGAAUUGACCAGAAACUAAGAAUGUAACCACAAUCAUCAAAGAAUUAUAAAUUGGCCAGUACAUUCAUAUAACGAAUACUAAGGUUCAACAGCCACAAAGAGAUUUCCUUGGGAACUCCUUUGAAUACCAGAAGAUACAGGAUAGUUUAUGCUAUUAUAUUGUCUAAAGGGAUUUCAACUACAGCAUAUGACAAGUCGGUAAUUUCCAGCAGCUGCGGUUAGAGAGAAAUUCUCAAUAAAUAUAUAUUGUCCAACCACCAGUUUUUGAACACGAGAAAAGAAGGGUCUCUUGCAGGUUUGUUUCAGUUUCAGGGAUAGAUGUUAAUACUUAUAUAUCAAGGCGAUCAUAAAAGUCAAAUGCAGACGUUGUACUCUGUAUUUUAUAUUUUUGGCAAAUUAAUUGGAGAAAAGGUUUUCCAAAGUUGUGUUUGAGCCCAAUGAUGUUCCUGAAAUUGAUACUUUCAGAAAAAGGAUUGAAAAUAGAGAGUUCUGAAGAUAAUUUCCACAGCAGUUGUUCUUUUUUCCUUAGAAACUUUUCCUUAUAAGUUCUGCUUUUCAUAUUUUAUUAUUAUAUUAUCUAUGUUUCGUUUAAUUUUAUGAAUGAAAUAUUUGGAUUGUCUAUUUUUCUUUUUUUUUAUCUUAAUAGCAUAACUAAGUUUAUAUAAGUA